rnacentral:lncRNA from 1 species
AUGCCAGAGAGCUGGGACAAGGAUGUGUACCCCAAGUCCCCAUGCCCUCGCUGCAGGCCUUGCUCCCCAAACCCAUCACCUACUUGAUGAAGGCCUUUGACCUCCUCAUGGCCUUUGUGAGAGAGAGUUUAUAAAGGGGCAGCAUGUGAAGAAGGUAUUACUACUACCACUGGGAGUAUCGCCACAUGCCAGACAUCAUUGAAUGCAAGGAGGAUGUUUUGUGCAUGUUUGGAGCUGAAAUGCAAUGGAGAAGGGACCACAAAAUCAGUCAAGAAAUUGUUGACCUCAUCCAGGAGAGGCUUAAGGAGGGAGCUACAGACAGACUGUGCCAAGGAGCUGGAACCCUUCACCCUGGUGGCCAAGGCAUGCCAGGACCGCUAUCAUGACCUGGGAGUCCGCUAUUCUGAAGUACCUGGUGAAACAGAGGAAGAGGAUGCUGGUGGAGAGAAAAGCUGCAAAGGAGGCUGCUGCUGCCUGA